rnacentral:rRNA from 1 species
CCUACGGGAGGCUGCAGUCGAGAAUCAUUCACCAUGGGGGAAACCCUGAUGGUGCGACGCCGCGUGGGGGAAUGAAGGUCUUCGGAUUGUAAACCCCUGUCAUGUGGGAGCAAAUUAAAAAGAUAGUACCACAAGAGGAAGAGACGGCUAACUCUGUGCCAGCAGCCGCGGUAAUACAGAGGGAUCAAGCGUUGUUCGGAAUCACUGGGCGUAAAGCGUGCGUAGGCUGUUUCGUAAGUCGUGUGUGAAAGGGGAGGGCGCAACCCGCGGACGGCACAUGAUACUGCGAGACUAGAGUAAGGGAGGGGGAACCGGAAUUCUCGGUGUAGCAGUGAAAUGCGUAGAUAUCGAGAGGAACACUCGUGGCGAAGGCGGGUUCCUGGACAUUAACUGACGCUGAGGCACGAAGGCCAGGGGAGCGAAAGGGAUUAGAUACCCUUGUAGUC